rnacentral:rRNA from 1 species
AGUGAACGCUGGCGGUAGGCCUAACACAUGCAAGUCGAACGGCAGCACAGUAAGAGCUUGCUCUUACGGGUGGCGAGUGGCGGACGGGUGAGGAAUACAUCGGAAUCUACUUUUUCGUGGGGGAUAACGUAGGGAAACUUACGCUAAUACCGCAUACGACCUACGGGUGAAAGCAGGGGAUCUUCGGACCUUGCGCGAUUGAAUGAGCCGAUGUCGGAUUAGCUAGGUGGCGGGGUAAAGGCCCACCAAGGCGACGAUCCGUAGCUGGUCUGAGAGGAUGAUCAGCCACACUGGAACUGAGACACGGUCCAGACUCCUACGGGAGGCAGCAGUGGGGAAUAUUGGACAAUGGGCGCAAGCCUGAUCCAGCCAUACCGCGUGGGUGAAGAAGGCCUUCGGGUUGUAAAGCCCUUUUGUUGGGAUAGAAAAGCAGCAGGUUAAUACCCCGCUGUUCUGACGGUACCCAAAGAAUAAGCACCGGCUAACUUCGUG